rnacentral:rRNA from 1 species
GACGAACGCUGGCGGCGUGCCUAGUACAUGCAAGUAGAACGCUGAAGGAGGAGCUUGCUCUUCUGGACGAGUUGCGAACGGGUGAGUAACGCGUAGGUAACCUGCCUGGUAGCGGGGGAUAACUAUUGGAAACGAUAGCUAAUACCGCAUAACAGUAGAUGUUGCAUGACAUUUGCUUAAAAGGUGCAAUUGCACCACUACCAGAUGGACCUGCGUUGUAUUAGCUAGUUGGUGGGGUAACGGCUCACCAAGGCGACGAUACAUAGCCGACCUGAGAGGGUGAUCGGCCACACUGGGACUGAGACACGGCCCAGACUCCUACGGGAGGCAGCAGUAGGGAAUCUUCGGCAAUGGACGGAAGUCUGACCGAGCAACGCCGCGUGAGUGAAGAAGGUUGUCGGAUCGUAAAGCUCUGUUGUAAGAGAAGAACGAGUGUGAGAGUGGAAAGUUCACACUGUGACGGUAUCUUACCAGAAAGGGACGGCUAACUACGUG